GGCUCCCAAGAUCCAAGGAUGCCCUCUUACCUUGUUUUUUAUCCUUUCAUGGAAGCAUCUAAAGGAAAACUGGAAGCUGCAGUGAUACAUGAACAAUUCACAGCUUUCCCAGCAGGAAGAUUGGCCUCUUUACAUUGGAAGACCUCUGGUUAUGGUGUUUGCAUUUCAGAGCCUUUCCACCUAUUUUUGAUAAGCUGGGUGAAACUGAUCACACUAAAUCUUUUGGCCAAUGUUCCUCAGAAGAUGAGAGGAGAGAGGAAUGGGGCAAAAGUUCACAUUCAAUAAGGCUAUUCCUUUGUUGCACCUGGAAAGAACGCAAGAAUCCCAGUUGAUAAAAAUUGUGUUUCAUUGAAGUCAGAGGGGAACAUGAAAUCAUCAAAGGAACAGACCACAUAGAAACCCUACAAUACAAAUUAAGGAAAGGUUCUUAUCUGUCACAGCCUAAUUGGCUGGGGCCUACUGUUUUCCAUGUCAGAUG